rnacentral:rRNA from 1 species
AGCGAACGCUGGCGGCAGGCUUAACACAUGCAAGUCGAGCGGGCACUUCGGUGUCAGCGGCAGACGGGUGAGUAACACGUGGGAACGUACCCUUCGGUUCGGAAUAACGCUGGGAAACUAGCGCUAAUACCGGAUACGCCCUUUUGGGGAAAGGUUUACUGCCGAAGGAUCGGCCCGCGUCUGAUUAGCUAGUUGGUGGGGUAAUGGCCUACCAAGGCGACGAUCAGUAGCUGGUCUGAGAGGAUGAUCAGCCACACUGGGACUGAGACACGGCCCAGACUCCUACGGGAGGCAGCAGUGGGGAAGAUUGGACAAUGGGCGCAAGCCUGAUCCAGCCAUGCCGCGUGAGUGAUGAAGGCCUUAGGGUUGUAAAGCUCUUUUGUCCGGGACGAUAAUGACGGUACCGGAAGAAUAAGCCCCGGCUAACUUCGU